GGAAAUUAGAAGAUGCAGAUAGCUAUGCCCAUGCAUGUCAAAGAUGAUAUUAAUGAAUUUUAAUAGUAGUAACCAAAGAUAAGAGAUUGAGAUUCAAACACACCUAGAGUGUUUUCUCCCUCACGAGGUCUCUCCGUUGAGGUUGCUCUCUGGAGAGUGUAGAACUUUCAGUUGCAGUUUUAGUUUUAGUUUUCAGUUUGGUUGGGUGGUUUUUUGCUUUAUCUUCCCAGUCUCUUUGACUUCCCUUCUUUGUUAUUGCCUGUGUGUUGGUAGUGCUUUUAUUUUUUCAACUUAUUACUUAUUGAAGAUACCUGCUGGAAUAUGGGUCAGUCAACACCAUCCAUUAAUGAGCUCUGUGAUACAACCAGUUUGCUAUCGUGGGAAGAUGUCACGUUGGAAUAAAUUCUGAUACCCAAGCGGCAGCUUCUCGGUCCAGUACCAUAUUGGUCGGGAAACUUCUUUCAGCAAAAAUUUUUCCAACAAAUCAUGUGCGCAACAUUUUGAAGCAAGUAUGGAAUUUGGCUUUUGAUUUUCAAGUUAAAGCUCUCCCGGAGAUGCAAAAUAUUUUCCUUUUCACUUUCUCUCAUGAAAGGGACAAAGAUAGAGUGCUGGAUGGAAUACCGUGGUUGAUUAAUAAUGCCCUGAUUGUGUUGAAACAAUGGUUGCCCAAUUUGAAAUUGGCAGAAGUUGAUUUUUCCUCUAGCCCCUUUUGGGUGCAGGUUCACGUGUUGCCUAUCAAUCAAAUGACUACGCAGAACGCUAGGCUCAUUGGAAAUCUUUUCAAGAAUCUUCUGGAUAUUGAUAUGGCAUCUAAUGACGAUGUUUCAAUUGGAAGUUGUAUUAGGCUCAGAGUGGACGUGGAUAUCACUAAGCCUAUGUUGGAGGGGUUUACAAACAAGCGACCAGACGGCUCCCUCGAAAGAGUCAGAUUUAGAUUUGAGCGGUUGCCGGAUUUAUGCUAUAUGUGUGGUCUUCUUGAUCACCAAAUUCAAACAUGCUCCAACAUAAGCAGAGUUACCAUUGUAGAGAAUCAAGGCAAACGUCAGGAAUACGGACCUUGGAUGAGGGCAGAGAUCUUCUCCUCAAAAUCAAAAAGCUAAUUCAGAGCUCCACCAGUUCAAAGGCCGGUCCUAAGUUCAUCUGGUAGCUUGCUAGGCGUGAAUUAGGUGGCGCGUGAGGUAUCUGAAGUGGACAAACAAGUGAAGACUUCCACUCAAUCACCUGUCUCAUUAGUCUCUGGCGAACCAACUGUCAGAUGUGGUAGACAUCAUAACCUCGAGCCGAUCUCUGUUGCUUUUACGGCUGAAGUGGCUGCUAGACCAUCAUUGCCUCUUGGCAAAGGUAAAAUCUCUCCUCCACAGUCCUCUCAAACAAUCACUCUGUCUCAGUUUGAGUAUUACGGUAACUGUGAUCCAAGAAGAGUUGAGUACAGAUUAUACCUUCACUUAGCCUGACAUUCCCUCGUUGAAAAGAAA
rnacentral:misc_RNA from 1 species